rnacentral:lncRNA from 1 species
CUUUCAUUUGCUGUCUAAUAUUUUGUUAGAAUUACAGAAGGUAAGAGACAGGUUUCCCAUGAAAGCCACGUCUGCUGCUCCAGAGAUUCCCUGGCAGUGCUGUUCCAGGUGCUUGGCAGAGUCCCCAGGAGAUCACACACCUCUUGUGAUGCAGGACAGAAGCUCCCAGACCCUGGACACCCUCAGGACCUGCCACAUCCACCAGGGAAUUUCACACCAUCGUGUCAGUGAAUGCACUUCAUCAUCUGUCCAAGAAGAGGAGAGCAAGGCUGAGCAAGGUCAGGAAAUCAAACCAUGUAAGAAAAGUCCUUGCAACUCUGCAGAGACACGGAUGAAACUGGACCGAUAA